ensembl:lncRNA
ACCUAUCUGUGCAGUAAUAUGAAGAGAGCAAGCACUGAAGUGGACCAAACAAAACUUCUAGUAAAUCAGAAAUGUGGUCACAGCCAGCCAGCGUACAAAGGCUGAGAGAGCUGCAGUGUUCAGGACAGAAACAAAUGCAGCAAAAUAAGCGGGGAAGCUUAUUCCCCUUAGAGCUACGCUUAUGGCAUUAUUAAGACCGCAGAGCGAUGUGCCCAAAGGUCUAGAACCCCGCUCGGAAGACAGCGUGCACAGCGCAGGCCAGCCCUCUGUACACGCGCCUCCCUUCAGCUCUGGCUUCCUGCUUCUCUCGCUGGGCCUCCUCUCUCUGUUAGCAAACAUGGUGGGCUUGCUUUGAAGCUGACUGCAUAAGACAGAAGAGGACCAUCCUAUUUCCUUUCAGCGCUUCUUUCACGUUACCAAAUUGUGAAGCCAGUGCUGCAAGCUGACAGCAUAACUGGUUAUGCAGAAGAAGCAGAAGCAGCGUUCAGGAGGUGGCACUGGACUGAUCAAGGGCAGCAUGGCAGAAAUGAAACUUUCAGCCCCUGCUCUUGCCAGGCAUUUCCACAGAAAUGUGCUUUUCAGGUUCAUGGCUGUACUAAUAUACACCAUUACACGCAUUUUGGAAAUCCAGCUCUUACACUGCUGAUCACACAUUUAUUUUCAAUCCCAAGGCCCCGGGGCACUCAAAAUGACAGUACAAACAAGAGUUCUGAAAUGGGCUCAUAACACCCGCUCAGGAUCUGAAGCAACUGCUGCUGGAUUAAAUCGUGGUCCUUGGGAACGGAGUCCCAAGGUGGGACGAAAAUUCAACUGCAGAACCUGUGCUGCCAACUGGGAGCCACAAGUCCUAUGUGAAACUGGCUUAAUUUCAUGCUGACUGCUGCUUCUGCCGCUGAGUCUCUGAUGCAGUUACAUACCUGCUUUCCAAGUCGGGGAAAAAGUCUUUUGAAAGCUGCUCAGGUUGAAGCAUCAAAUCUUCAAUGAUGUUCAUACUUCCAGUUUGUUCAUAUAACAGUUCACAGUGGGAAUUUCCUUCAUAUUUCCCUGUUCAUAUUUCAAAGUUAGGUUAAGUCAAAUUGAUGCUUAUGAACAUGGAGC